rnacentral:ncRNA from 1 species
ACGGAAGCCCGGUGAGGCCAAGGUCGAUCCGGAAGAGAAGGGUCGGUCUCCCGAACCGGGCGCCCAGCACGGUACCCGGCACCCACGCGGAGCCAUAGCCGCGAUAGAGGCAGAAGUGUUGCGGGCCUGCGUAAUUGCGAAGAGCGGACGGCCUUGACGGUCCUUUGGGUGGGGCCAGGGUCGCACGCAGCGCAAGAUCGCCGAGGCCAACCCACGCAACCCACAAGUUGCACGCUUGGUAACCGAGUCCCGUGCUAGCGGGCGACGAGCCGAUCAUGCCGGAGCGUCGCCCGCUGUGCAUG